UUGCAUGUUAGAGUUUUUGUUUUUUUUUCACCAAAAAAGGAGAAAUUUCAAUAAAGAUUAAAGCGGAUUAGAUACUGAGAUAGACUGAUCUAUCAUUACAAGACCC